CGGUACGCCGGCUGGAUGGCGUCCCGAGGAAAGUCCGAGCUCCGCAGGGCAGACUGCCAGGUAACGCCUGGGCGCCGUAAGGCGACGGACAGGGCCACAGAAAACAGACCGCCCUGUAUCCAGAGGGUAAGGGUGAAACGGUGGGGUAAGAGCCCACCGCGCGCCUGGCAACAGGCGCGGCACGGCAACCCCCAGUCGGAG
rnacentral:ncRNA from 2 species